rnacentral:rRNA from 1 species
UAGUGGCGAACGGGUGAGUAACACGUGGGCAAUCUGCCCUUCACUCUGGGACAAGCCCUGGAAACGGGGUCUAAUACCGGAUAACACCUGCCCGGGCAUCUGGGUGGGUUAAAAGCUCCGGCGGUGAAGGAUGAGCCCGCGGCCUAUCAGCUUGUUGGUGAGGUAGUGGCUCACCAAGGCGACGACGGGUAGCCGGCCUGAGAGGGCGACCGGCCACACUGGGACUGAGACACGGCCCAGACUCCUACGGGAGGCAGCAGUGGGGAAUAUUGCACAAUGGGCGAAAGCCUGAUGCAGCGACGCCGCGUGAGGGAUGACGGCCUUCGGGUUGUAAACCUCUUUCAGCAGGGAAGAAGCGAAAGUGACGGUACCUGCAGAAGAAGCGCCGGCUAACUACGUGCCAGCAGCCGCGGUAAUACGUAGGGCGCAAGCGUUGUCCGGAAUUAUUGGGCGUAAAGAGCUCGUAGGCGGCUUGUCACGUCGGGUGUGAAAGCCCGGGGCUUAACCCCGGGUCUGCAUUCGAUACGGGCUAGCUAGAGUGUGGUAGGGGGAGAUCGGAAUUCCU